CACACUAUCAUUAACUGAAUCCAUAGGUUAAUGAGGCGAACCGGGGGAACUGAAACAUCUAAGUACCCCGAGGAAAAGAAAUCAACCGAGAUUCCCCCAGUAGCGGCGAGCGAACGGGGAGGAGCCCAGAGCCUGAAUCAGUGUGUGUGUUAGUGGAAGCGUCUGGAAAGGCGCGCGAUACAGGGUGACAGCCCCGUACACAAAAAUGCACAUGCUGUGAGCUCGAUGAGUAGGGCGGGACACGUGGUAUCCUGUCUGAAUAUGGGGGGACCAUCCUCCAAGGCUAAAUACUCCUGACUGACCGAUAGUGAACCAGUACCGUGAGGGAAAGGCGAAAAGAACCCCGGCGAGGGGAGUGAAAAAGAACCUGAAACCGUGUACGUACAAGCAGUGGGAGCCUCUUUAUGGGGUGACUGCGUACCUUUUGUAUAAUGGGUCAGCGACUUAUAUUCUGUAGCAAGGUUAACCGAAUAGGGGAGCCGAAGGGAAACCGAGUCUUAACUGGGCGUUAAGUUGCAGGGUAUAGACCCGAAACCCGGUGAUCUAGCCAUGGGCAGGUUGAAGGUUGGGUAACACUAACUGGAGGACCGAACCGACUAAUGUUGAAAAAUUAGCGGAUGACUUGUGGCUGGGGGUGAAAGGCCAAUCAAACCGGGAGAUAGCUGGUUCUCCCCGAAAGCUAUUUAGGUAGCGCCUCGUGAAUUCAUCUCCGGGGGUAGAGCACUGUUUCGGCAAGGGGGUCAUCCCGACUUACCAACCCGAUGCAAACUGCGAAUACCGGAGAAUGUUAUCACGGGAGACACACGGCGGGUGCUAACGUCCGUCGUGAAGAGGGAAACAACCCAGACCGCCAGCUAAGGUCCCAAAGUCAUGGUUAAGUGGGAAACGAUGUGGGAAGGCCCAGACAGCCAGGAUGUUGGCUUAGAAGCAGCCAUCAUUUAAAGAAAGCGUAAUAGCUCACUGGUCGAGUCGGCCUGCGCGGAAGAUGUAACGGGGCUAAACCAUGCACCGAAGCUGCGGCAGCGACGCUUAUGCGUUGUUGGGUAGGGGAGCGUUCUGUAAGCCUGCGAAGGUGUACUGUGAGGUAUGCUGGAGGUAUCAGAAGUGCGAAUGCUGACAUAAGUAACGAUAAAGCGGGUGAAAAGCCCGCUCGCCGGAAGACCAAGGGUUCCUGUCCAACGUUAAUCGGGGCAGGGUGAGUCGACCCCUAAGGCGAGGCCGAAAGGCGUAGUCGAUGGGAAACAGGUUAAUAUUCCUGUACUUGGUGUUACUGCGAAGGGGGGACGGAGAAGGCUAUGUUGGCCGGGCGACGGUUGUCCCGGUUUAAGCGUGUAGGCUGGUUUUCCAGGCAAAUCCGGAAAAUCAAGGCUGAGGCGUGAUGACGAGGCACUACGGUGCUGAAGCAACAAAUGCCCUGCUUCCAGGAAAAGCCUCUAAGCAUCAGGUAACAUCAAAUCGUACCCCAAACCGACACAGGUGGUCAGGUAGAGAAUACCAAGGCGCUUGAGAGAACUCGGGUGAAGGAACUAGGCAAAAUGGUGCCGUAACUUCGGGAGAAGGCACGCUGAUAUGUAGGUGAAGCGACUUGCUCGUGGAGCUGAAAUCAGUCGAAGAUACCAGCUGGCUGCAACUGUUUAUUAAAAACACAGCACUGUGCAAACACGAAAGUGGACGUAUACGGUGUGACGCCUGCCCGGUGCCGGAAGGUUAAUUGAUGGGGUUAGCGGUAACGCGAAGCUCUUGAUCGAAGCCCCGGUAAACGGCGGCCGUAACUAUAACGGUCCUAAGGUAGCGAAAUUCCUUGUCGGGUAAGUUCCGACCUGCACGAAUGGCGUAAUGAUGGCCAGGCUGUCUCCACCCGAGACUCAGUGAAAUUGAACUCGCUGUGAAGAUGCAGUGUACCCGCGGCAAGACGGAAAGACCCCGUGAACCUUUACUAUAGCUUGACACUGAACAUUGAGCCUUGAUGUGUAGGAUAGGUGGGAGGCUUUGAAGUGUGGACGCCAGUCUGCAUGGAGCCGACCUUGAAAUACCACCCUUUAAUGUUUGAUGUUCUAACGUUGGCCCCUAAUCGGGGUUGCGGACAGUGUCUGGUGGGUAGUUUGACUGGGGCGGUCUCCUCCUAAAGAGUAACGGAGGAGCACGAAGGUUGGCUAAUCCUGGUCGGACAUCAGGAGGUUAGUGCAAUGGCAUAAGCCAGCUUGACUGCGAGCGUGACGGCGCGAGCAGGUGCGAAAGCAGGUCAUAGUGAUCCGGUGGUUCUGAAUGGAAGGGCCAUCGCUCAACGGAUAAAAGGUACUCCGGGGAUAACAGGCUGAUACCGCCCAAGAGUUCAUAUCGACGGCGGUGUUUGGCACCUCGAUGUCGGCUCAUCACAUCCUGGGGCUGAAGUAGGUCCCAAGGGUAUGGCUGUUCGCCAUUUAAAGUGGUACGCGAGCUGGGUUUAGAACGUCGUGAGACAGUUCGGUCCCUAUCUGCCGUGGGCGCUGGAGAACUGAGGGGGGCUGCUCCUAGUACGAGAGGACCGGAGUGGACGCAUCACUGGUGUUCGGGUUGUCAUGCCAAUGGCACUGCCCGGUAGCUAAAUGCGGAAGAGAUAAGUGCUGAAAGCAUCUAAGCACGAAACUUGCCCCGAGAUGAGUUCUCCCUGACUCCUUGAGAGUCCUGAAGGAACGUUGAAGACGACGACGUUGAUAGGCCGGGUGUGUAAGCGCAGCGAUGCGUUGAGCUAACCGGUACUAAUGAACCGUGAGGCUUAACCU
rnacentral:rRNA from 1 species